GUGCCGACGCGUGUUCGAGCAACCGUUCAGGCCUCUAGUCAACCAUCUUCAUUGAGUUUUAAAGCUGAUAGGUAUUGCUAUUGCCUUCUAUUUUGGAGCCAGAUUUGGGUUUGAUAAAGCUGAUAGGAAACGCCUUUUCAAUAUGAUUAAUGAAGUGCCCACAAUAUUUGAAGUUGUUACUGGUGCAGC